AGGGUCUUGCUCUGUCACCCAGGCUGGAGUGCAGUGGCGUGAUCAUGGUCCAAAGCAGCCUCAAUCUACCUGGGCUCAGAGACGGAGUUUCAUCAUGUUGCCCGAGAAUCAUGUGAUCCUCCCAGCAAUUUGAAUGGACACAAAACUAUGUUUGAAAUAUACAGCAAGAUGGCCACCUGCAAACCAGGAAGAGAGCCCCUACCAGGCUGGUACCUUAAUCGUAGACUUCUCAGCCUGCAGAUUUGUGAGAAAUAAAUGCUUGUUGUUAAAGCCA